rnacentral:rRNA from 1 species
UACGUAGGGUGCAAGCGUUGUCCGGAAUUACUGGGCGUAAAGCGCGCGCAGGCGGUUCUGUAAGUCCUGGGUGAAAUCGCCCGGCUCAACUGGGCGGGGGCCUGGGGGACUGCGGGACUGGAGGGGCCUAGAGGCCGGUGGAACUCCCGGUGUAGUGGUGAAAUGCGUAGAGAUCGGGAAGAACACCAGUGGCGAAGGCGGCCGGCUGGGGGCGCCCUGACGCUGAGGCGCGAGAGCGUGGGGAGCGAACCGG